rnacentral:rRNA from 1 species
CGGCGGACGGGUGAGUAAUGCCUAGGAAUCUGCCUGGUAGUGGGGGACAACGUUUCGAAAGGAACGCUAAUACCGCAUACGUCCUACGGGAGAAAGCAGGGACCUUCGGGCCUUGCGCUAUCAGAUGAGCCUAGGUCGGACUAGCUAGUUGGUGAGGUAAUGGCUCACCAAGGCGACGAUCCGUAACUGGUCUGAGAGGAUGAUCAGUCACACUGGAACUGAGACACGGUCCAGACUCCUACGGGAGGCAGCAGU